rnacentral:rRNA from 1 species
GAUGAACGCUGGCGGCGUGCUUAAUACAUGCAAGUCGAGCGGACAGAUGCGGCUCUUACUUCUCUGAAGUUAGCGGCGGACGGGUAAGUAGCACGUGGAUUACCUACCUAUUCGACUGGGGUCACGUCAGGUAGCCGGAGUUAAGGCCGGAUGAUAUUUUGAACGGCAUGGUUGAAAAGUUAUAGACGGGCUUGCUGUGACUGAUCGAUAGCUUCUUGCUGGAGGAGCGAGUUGGUACGGUAACGGCUUACCGAAGCCGCGAUGCAUAGCCGAACUGGGAGGGUGUUCGGGCACACUGGAGCUGAGACACGGUCCAGACUCUUACGGGAGGCAGCAGCAGGGAAGCUUGCGCAAUGGGCGGAAUCCUGACGGAGCGACGCCGCGUGAGUGCUGAAGGUCUUCGGAUCGUAAAACGCUGUUAUUAUGGAAAAACCUUUGUGUAAGUAACGGUGCAUAUCGUGACGGUACCUAGUCAGAAAGCCACGGCUAACUACGUG